rnacentral:tRNA from 1 species
GCCUAGUUCGCUUGAUUGGUAGCGCGUCUGCCUUGUAAGCGCUAGGCCGCGGGUUCGAUUCCCGCCCGGGGCG